rnacentral:lncRNA from 1 species
GGGGUCAAUUUCUGCGACAGACUGGAGGAGAGAAAGAAAAGGGAAGCCAUUAUUAUUAUAUAUUCUUACACACGUUCUGCAAAAAUGGGGAUUUGACACAGACGGAGAGAGAAGAGAAUUGGAGGGCCAAUUUGAUGCUCAAAUUUAUAGAUAUACAAGCAUAGAAAUUUAGGUAGCUUUGGUGAAAUUAAUUGGUUGCUGUCUGCCAAUAUCAUUGAAUUAUAUACAAACAUGGCGGAGGCUCGAGACAAGACGGAAACACCAAAAAAAGGGGCAACAAUUUUAUUAAUCACGUUUCGUAAAUAAAUCGGGUGAUGUCUUCCAUGAUAAUAUCUUGUUUUUCUCCUAUUAAUAUGCGUAGCUAAAUUUAUUUUUAGAGCGAACAAUGUAACUGAUUUGGAACCUUUAUUUCUUUUAUUUGAGAUUAUUGUUCUUUUAUAUUUUAUGUGUG